UGCAUGGUGGUGCAGUUGGUAGCACUGUUCCUUGCAUCAAGAAGGUCCUAGGUUCAAAUCCCCGACUGGGAUCUUUAUGCAC